CUGGCAAGCUUGAGUCUCGUAGAGGGGGGUAGAAUUCCAGGUGUAGCGGUGAAAUGCGUAGAGAUCUGGAGGAAUACCGGUGGCGAAGGCGGCCCCCUGGACGAAGACUGACGCUCAGGUGAGAAAGCGUGGGGAGCAAACAGGAUUAGAUACCCUGGUAGUCCACGCCGUAAACGAUGUCGACUUGGAGGUUGUGCCCUUGAGGCGUGGCUUCCGGAGCUAACGCGUUAAGUCGACCGCCUGGGGAGUACGGCCGCAAGGUUAAAACUCAAAUGAAUUGACGGGGGCCCGCACAAGCGGUGGAGCAUGUGGUUUAAUUCGAUGCAACGCGAAGAACCUUACCUGGUCUUGACAUCCACGGAAGUUUUCAGAGAUGAGAAUGUGCCUUCGGGAACCGUGAGACAGGUGCUGCAUGGCUGUCGUCAGCUCGUGUUGUGAAAUGUUGGGUUAAGUCCCGCAACGAGCGCAACCCUUAUCCUUUGUUGCCAGCGGUCCGGCCGGGAACUCAAAGGAGACUGCCAGUGAUAAACUGGAGGAAGGUGGGGAUGACGCCAAGUCAUCAUGGCCCUUACGACCAGGGCUACACACGUGCUACAAUGGCGCAUACAAAGAGAAGCGACCUCGCGAGAGCAAGCGGACCUCAUAAAGUGCGUCGUAGUCCGGAUUGGAGUCUGCAACUCGACUCCAUGAAGUCGGAAUCGCUAGUAAUCGUGGAUCAGAAUGCCACGGUGAAUACGUUCCCGGGCUUUGUACACACCGCCCGUCACACCAUGGGAGUGGGUUGCAAAAGAAGUAGGUAGCUUAACCUUCGGGAGGGCGCUUACCACUUUGUGAUUC
rnacentral:rRNA from 1 species